CUACCAGACGCCUGAACCCCCUGCAACUCCUCCCACACUUCAUACCAGCCACCAAAUAACUCUCCCCCGCUGCCGGCGACACCCUCCAACAUCAAAGAGUCUCUUCCAAAGAUCAAAGGAGGUAAGUAUGAUGAUUUUUUAUUUUGUUUAGUUUGUUUUUAUAAAUAUUUAGUUUUUAUUUUUCUUCUUCAUCUCAGGCCGGCGGAGCUCCUCCCUCUCAGGCGACCGGUGCUCCUCCAUCUUAGACGCAGCGAUCUCCUCCAUCUCAGUGUUUUGGAUACUAGCAAGGAUUGUUACAAAGUUAACGUGAUCAUUUUAAAUUAGAAGAGGUACGUGUGCAUAUUUUUUUUUUUUUUUUAUGUUAAUUAAUAUUAUACCAAUGUUAGAGGAGUUUGAAUAUCCUAAAUAUUCAUCCAUAGUGAAGUAGGUUUUCAUAAUUGUAUGUUGCGGUGAUAACGGAAGGUUUCUAACUUGUGUCCCUUAGUGAAGUAGGUUCUGCGAAAAUUUGAUUGUGUUGCGGUGGUAUAAGGAUGAAAACUUAUUGCACGUUGAUUGAAUUGUUUGAAUUAUUUGUUCGCUAUAACAGAUGGUUAGGUUAAUAUUAUAGGGGAAAUGCUGUCCAAUUUUUUUAAGAAUUUUAUCUGCUAUUAUUGAUAAAUGUUUGCUUGUUUGAUUUGAUCGUAUUGUUAAUGAAAUUUUAUGUGCUUUAUUUUUAAUUUUUUUUAUAAUUUCAUACGGAUGAUGUAGGAAGAAAAAUAUGGAUAAAAAAUGGAUGUCAACAAAUAGGUUAUCUGAGGAGUAUAGAAAUGGGGUCGAAUUCUUCAUAAGAUUUUGUAUGGAAAAUAUGGUAGACCCAAAUGAUACUUUUUGUCCAUGUGUUAAGUGUGGAAAUGUAAAAAAGUUGAAUUUAAGUAAGGUCAAGGAACAUUUGUUUUUCAAUGGGAUUGACAAAAGCUAUAAUAUUUGGUAUAGUCAUGGGGAGAAUCCCCCUAGUAGACCAAAUACUUCUCCUAAGCCUAAGAAAGUAAGUGAGUAUAUUGAAGAGGUGAAUUGGGAUCCAUUAGAUGAAAUGAUUGAAGAUGCACAUUAUGGAUCGGCAGUAGACCAAAGUAAGUUUGAUAAUUUACUUAGUGACACAACUGGUUUAUUUGUCAUCUAACUAUUUAGAAAAACUACUUUUUUUUUAAAUUUUAAUUAAUUAAUAAAUCAAUAUGCAGGAUGCUCUAGUUACCAAAUCAAGACACUCAGCAGCACCAUUAACCCAACAACAACAAGAGCCUACACGUCGUAUUCGUGAACCUCUGUCACAAGAAGUGCAACAACCUGUAAUUAGAGGUCAUCAUUUGAAUGAGGUUUAUAAAAUUGUAUCGACGUGGCCUAACAAUGCGAAUGUGAAAGUAUCCAUUGAAAGACACAUAUUUGAUCUAGAUAUGUCAGGCUUGUACAUAUCGAAGGAAGACACCUUGGACUUUAUUUUCAACAAAAAGAUUGGGCAAGGUAUCAUCACGUGCUACAUGAGGUAUAUUACUCGAUAUAUAUAAUAAAUUUAUUACUUUUAACUUUAUUCAUGUUAUUUAUUCAAAAUUUAUCUAAGUUAACUUUGGCUAAAUUUUAUAUUAGGAUACUAUAUCAAUGGCUCGUACAAUAUAAUCGCCAACAAUUGUUUCAAUUUGUUAAUCCGAAUGAAGUAGCCACUCGUUUUACAUCGCUUGAUGCACGUGUCUCUUCUUUGUAUAGACGUAUCAAAAAAAUGUCAAAUAAUCAGCAGUACAUGGUCACUCCUUGGAUUGAUGGGUAAAUUUAAAUUUAGUUUUAUGUAUGAUAAAUAAAAUUGUGAUCUAAUACUCAAUCUAAUUAACUUUGUUUUGUUUUUUUUUGGAUUAUAUAGUGAGCAUUGGAUGUUGAUAUUAUUAGUGCCCGACUCUUAUUGGUUAUGUUUCAUGGAUCCUAAAAACUCACACUUGAGUAAUUGACCUGAUAUUAGAGAGACGGUCACAUUGGCAUUUCAAACUUACUACAGGGCGAUAAGGAAAUAAAUUCCACCGAAGCUAAAAGUUCGACGCCCAACUUGUCCACAUCAACCGGAAGACACCGAAUGUGGAUAUUAUGUAAUGAAGAUGAUGAAAGAUUUAAUUCAAGCUUCGAACCGGAAACACUUUUUGGCCGAGUUAAGUGAUGCAAAUUAUACAGAAGAAGAAAUUGAUGAAGUGAAAGAGCAUUGGGCAAGUGAGAUGUUAUCGGUUAUUCAAGCUUACCGACGUUAGUUAUUUUUUGUUUUAAUAGACUAAUGGGCAAGUGAUAUGUUAUCGGUUAUUUAGUUAUUUUUUCUUUUAAUAGACCAAUAGUUAUUAUAUAAUUUUAUAGUUAUGGAUUUAUUGGUAUAAUGAACUAAUAUGUAAUAUUUAUUAGUUGUGUUAACGUGAAUUAUUAUAAUAGUCUAAUUAAUAUAAAUUUUACAUUUAGUUAAUUAAAAUUAUUAUUGUUAUAUUUAAUUGUAUUUGUAUAUAAUUAAUAUAAAUUAUUAUUUAUAAUAUAUCAAAUUUGAAUUAAAAUAAAUAAUUAUUAUAUUUUUUUAAAAAAUAUAUAUAAUGUAGUGGCAUUUUUGGUGUGUCACUAUAUCUCUAAAAAUAUUAAUAAAAAAAAAAUAGGAUAUAGUGACACUCCAUGUAAGUGGCUGUUGCUUUUCUAGUCUGACAAAACAUGACACUGUACCCCUAUAGUGACGCGCAGACACUGAGGGCAAAAGCAUUCAGUGACACGUUUGGCGCGUCACUAAAAACUGCUUUUCCAGUCAGCCUCAUUAGUGACGCGCGUUGAAGUGUCACUAUAGACUUUUAGAGUUACGCAAUGUGUGUCACUAAAACCCAAUUUUCUAGUAGUGUCACCCUCAAUGUAUUUUGCCCCUUAAAAC